rnacentral:rRNA from 1 species
UACGGAGGGGGCUAGCGUUGUUCGGAAUUACUGGGCGUAAAGCGCACGUAGGCGGCUUUGUAAGUUAGAGGUGAAAGCCCGGGGGCUCAACCUCCGGAAUUGCCUUUAAGACUGCAUCGCUAGAAUUGUGGAGAGGUAAGUGGAAUUCCGAGUGUAGAGGUGAAAUUCGUAGAUAUUCGGAAGAACACCAGUGGCGAAGGCGACUUACUGGACACAUAUUGACGCUGAGGUGCGAAAGCGUG